CCUGGGCAACUAUUAAAAUGCUUCUUGAAAACGAGACAAUAACUGCUCGUGCGGAUCUUAAAUAUGCUCUUUUAGAUUUGGAUCUCGAUGAAGGUACAGUGAAAGAAUCGCUUUCAAGGCUGGAAAAACAUGGAAGGGUCGCUGUUGAAUUGAAGACAAAAGAAGAAGCUACAACUAUCUCGAUCCGCAUGAAAGACACAGAUUCAAGAUAUUAUUCAAUGCCGAUAUGUCAAUAGUACGGAAUCGAAAAGAAUAUAUACAAGCAAUUGCUGAUGAAUGUAUGAUGAUGCUUUGGAUAAUAUCGGAAAUUCGGUUAGAUGGAGACGGUGAUACCUUUGAAAACUUUCGUUCCCUACUUGAUGAAGGGC